rnacentral:rRNA from 1 species
UACAGAGGGUGCGAGCGUUAAACGGAAUUACUGGGCGUAAAGCGUGCGUAGGCGGUUAUUUAAGUCAGAUGUGAAAUCCCCAGGCUCAACCUGGGAACUGCAUUUGAAACUCCCUUUCUUGAGUAUCGGAGAGGAAAGCGGAAUUCCUGGUGUAGAGGUGAAAUUCGUAGAUAUCAGGAGGAACACCAGCGGCGAAGGCGGCUUUCUGGACGAUAACUGACGCUGAGACGCGAAAGCGUGGGGAGCAAACAGG